UGCAGAAUUUAUCUGAUAAGGGAUAGUGUUAAAAAGUCAGCAGGUCCUGGGUAUGUGAAACUGAGUACCAAGAGGAGACUGGAUAUCGUGAAGUCAAACUUCUCAAAUUCCACAAAUUGGCCUCAGAUGGUAUCUCAGUUUGGACAUGAAGAGAAGACCGCUCCUGUGUCCACGCAUGGAGAAGAACCGCUGGCCCUCCCUGGUCGUCUGUCCACUAGGGCAUCUGCCUCUGCGUUCUUGUGCCCUGGUUUCUGAGUGCAGAACCACUAAAAUCCUGGCUUCUUUCCUCAGCAUCCUGGCGAGGUAUCCUCAGCCUCUGAACCCGUCAGCCACAUUCACACCCAGAGGAACCAGGAAGCAUCCACAGCUUCCCCUACACCCUACAGCUCUGCCUCAGGUCCUCCCAAAGCUAUAUCCAAAUAAGGUUACAUUCUGAGGUACUAGGAUUAGGAUUUCAACAUAUGAAUUUUGGGGGACACAAAACUGAAUCCAUAAAAAGGUGGUUGGGGUCCUUUUAGAAAACAUGUUCCAAAAGUCCACGUAUCUACGAAUUUUUAAAAACUAGAAGAUGAUUUUGAAUUGAGCCUGCUAUUAAGAGAGAUUUCAUUUAAAGACUGAAAAUAAACAUCUUCUACAAGAAUGAUAUAUUUUUUGCAUUCCUAAACAGUGAUCAGCAUAUGGUAGUUGCUGAAAUAUGCCAUUGUUUCUAUAGGAAAUGUAGACAUUUUAGUUACUUGGGGAUGGAAAUGGGGAAGUCAUUUUCUUUGGAAGAGUAACUAAGAAGGAACCCAAAAUAAGGGUAUUGUCAAGGAUAGUUCAGCAGACGGAGAAGGUCUUAGUUUCUUUCUUAAAGCAUCCCUCUUCACUCUCUGAGAAACUUGUCUUCCUAUCUUCA
rnacentral:lncRNA from 1 species